GAUUUAUUAAUUUAGCGGUAUAAUUUUAAAUAUUAUUCUAGAAAUUUUAAGUUCGAAUUUUAAAUAAAUUU